rnacentral:rRNA from 1 species
UCCGUAGGUGGAUAAUUAAGUCAGAGGUGAAAUCCUGCAGCUCAACUGUAGAAUUGCCUUUGAUACUGGUUAUCUUGAGUUAUUAUGAAGUAGUUAGAAUAUGUAGUGUAGCGGUGAAAUGCAUAGAUAUUACAUAGAAUACCGAUUGCGAAGGCAGAUUACUAAUAAUACACUGACACUGAUGGACGAAAGCGUGGGGAGCGAACAGGAUUAGAUACCCUGGUAGUCC